UGGUGAUCAACUGCAUGGAAGUACAAGCAAUACAGCUACAAUUUCUCCAGAACAUUUUCAACCACAUGUUGACUUAUAUCCUGACUUCCAAGAAGCAGCUGAGGCAUAUAAAGCAGCUGAAGUUUCAGCAGAACAUCUACAAGGAAAUAUUGAGGAAGAACCAGCAAUUGAUGAAGUAG